CAUCCAGCGCCCCCCCCCCAGUUUCUCCUGAGCCAGCGGUGCCCCAGCCCGGCCUCCAGUGGGCGUGUGCCGCUCUUCACGCUUCCCAGCCUCGGUUUCCCCUCCGGGUAGCCUUGCUGGUCGGAGCUUCUGCCGGAGAGCAUCUGACCACACCGCCCCGGGCACACGGACAUCCCUGCCAGCCCGCGUCCUCUAUGGUGAUUUCUGUAAAAACACCCAUAAGAAGAGGCCGGGCCUCGGACUGAGCGACGAGCGUUGUUAAUGCUCCGAUCCCGCUCCCUGGGGCCGCCCGAGUCCUGGCGCAGAAGCCUCAUCCGGAGGAAAAACUCCGGCCUUCCUCACCCUCCAGCUUCUCCUCCCGGAGCCGUCUGAGGAGCCUUUGGGACCCUGGACCACGCACCGCUUUUCUACCUGGAGGACCGGGAAAAGCUCUUGGCCUGUCGCACUGGUGAGAUUCUUCUCCCCCAGAAUUCUGGCCGUUCGUUCACCGGUACCCCGUGUCCCUACAUGACAGCGUGCGGAGACAGCCUGUGCCCAGUGCUCGCUGCUCUGGGAGGCCGGAGCUCAGUCAGUUUUGCUCACUGGUACCACCUGUCUUGGGCUCAUAGCCCCUAGGCCACCGCCCCUAUGCGAGGGCAUAUGGGGGCAGCCUGUGCCCUCUGAGUUCCUCGGCCCGCAGCCUCUGUGACGAUGGUCGUUGGCUGCCUUGCGCUGUUAUAACUCAUUGUGGAAAAAUGCACCCACCCCUCCCACUCCCCUCCCCAUCGCCCACCCCUCCCAUGCUCCUCCAGCCUCCGCUAAGCAGUUACGUCAUCACCUGUCCCUGGGGUCCUUUCCGCGACAUGCCCACCAGGAAAAGCUCACUCUCUGCCUGUCCCCUGCUACUAAUUCUUUUCCUUGUCUGUAAUUCUGUCUCUUUUUUUUU